CCUACGGGUGGCAGCAGUGAGGAAUAUUGGUCAAUGGGCGGGAGCCUGAACCAGCCAAGUCGCGUGAGGGAAGACGGUCCUAUGGAUUGUAAACCUCUUUAAGCCGGGAGCCAUGCCGGGCACGUGUGCCCGUUUGGAGGGUACGCGAGGAAUAAGCAUCGGCUAACUCCGUGCCAGCAGCCGCGGUACAACGGAGGAUCCGACGGUUAUCCGGUUUUAUUGGUUUUAAGGGAUGCGUCGGCGGAUUUUUAAGUCAGCGGGAAAAUGUCCGGGAUAAACCCGGCACGGCCGUGGAAACUGGGGAGCUUGAGUGGGCGAGAAGUAUGCGGAAUGCGUGGUGUAGCGGUGAAAUGCAUAGAUAUCACGCAGAACUCCGAUUGCGAAGGCAGCAUACCGGCGCCUGACUGACGCUGAGGCACGAAGGCGUGGGGAUCGAACAGGAUUAGAUACCCGUGUAGUC
rnacentral:rRNA from 1 species